AUUGAACGCUGGCGGCAUGCUUUACACAUGCAAGCCGAACGGUAACAGGCCGCAAGGUGCUGACGAGUGGCGAACGGGUGAGUAAUGCAUCGGAACGUGCCCAGUCGUGGGGGAUAACUACUCGAAAGAGUAGCUAAUACCGCAUACGAUCUAUGGAUGAAAGCGGGGGACCGUAAGGCCUCGCGCGAUUGGAGCGGCCGAUGUCAGAUUAGGUAGUUGGUGGGGUAAAGGCUCACCAAGCCAACGAUCUGUAGCUGGUCUGAGAGGACGACCAGCCACACUGGGACUGAGACACGGCCCAGACUCCUACGGGAGGCAGCAGUGGGGAAUUUUGGACAAUGGGCGCAAGCCUGAUCCAGCAAUGCCGCGUGCAGGAAGAAGGCCUUCGGGUUGUAAACUGCUUUUGUACGGAACGAAACGGCUCUGGUUAAUACCCGGGGCUAAUGACGGUACCGUAAGAAUAAGCACCGGCUAACUACGUG
rnacentral:rRNA from 1 species